GGGUGUAGCUCAGCUGGUAGAGCGGCGGUCUCCAAAACCGUAGGUCCAGGGUUCGAUCCCUUGCG
rnacentral:tRNA from 1 species